UACGUAGGGUGCAAGCGUUAAUCGGAAUUACUGGGCGUAAAGCGUGCGCAGGCGGCUAUGCAAGACAGAUGUGAAAUCCCCGGGCUCAACCUGGGAACUGCAUUUGUGACUGCAUGGCUAGAGUACGGUAGAGGGGGAUGGAAUUCCGCGUGUAGCAGUGAAAUGCGUAGAUAUGCGGAGGAACACCGAUGGCGAAGGCAAUCACCCGGGCCUGUACUGACGCUGAGGUACGAAAGCGUGGGGAGCAAACAGG
rnacentral:rRNA from 1 species